rnacentral:rRNA from 1 species
CUACGGAGGGUGCAAGCGUUACUCGGAAUCACUGGGCGUAAAGCGCGCGCAGGCGGUCUUUUAAGUUGGAUGUGAAAGCCUACGGCUCAACCGUAGAACUGCAUCCAAAACUAUUAGACUAGAGUGUGGGAGAGGAAGAUGGAAUUAGUUGUGUAGGGGUAAAAUCCGUAGAGAUAACUAGGAAUACCAAAAGCGAAGGCAAUCUUCUGGAACACUACUGACGCUGAGGCGCGAAAGCGUGGGGAGCAAACAGGAUUAGAAACCCUAGUAGUCC